rnacentral:rRNA from 1 species
CCUACGGGAGGCAGCAGUGGGGAAUAUUGCACAAUGGGGGAAACCCUGAUGCAGCGACGCCGCGUGAGUGAAGAAGUAUUUCGGUAUGUAAAGCUCUAUCAGCAGGGAAGAAACCCACCCUCCGGGGUGGCUGACGGUACCUGACUAAGAAGCCCCGGCUAACUACGUGCCUGCAGCCGCGGUAAUACGUAGGGGGCAAGCGUUAUCCGGAUUUACUGGGUGUAAAGGGAGCGUAGGUGGCAAGGCAAGUCAGAUGUGAAAACCCGGGGCCCAACCCCGGGAGUGCAUUUGAAACUGUCUGGCUAGAGUGCAGGAGAGGUAAGUGGAAGUCCUAGUGUAGCGGUGAAAUGCAUAGAUAUUAGGAGGAACACCAGUGGCGAAGGCGGCUUACUGGACUGUAACUGACGUUGAGGCUCGAAAGCGUGGGGAGCAAACAGGAUUAGAUACCCGUGUAGUC